AGGGUACUCGAGUGGCGAACGGGUGAGUAACACGUGGGUGAUCUGCCCUGCACUUUGGGAUAAGCUUGGGAAACUGGGUCUAAUACCGAAUAUGACCAUUGUUUAGUGUCGAUGGUGGAAAGCUUUUGCGGUGUGGGAUGAGCCUGCGGCCUAUCAGCUUGUUGGUGGGGUAAUGGCCUACCAAGGCGGCGACGGGUAUCCGGCCUGAGAGGGUGUACGGACACAUUGGGACUGAGAUACGGCCCAG
rnacentral:rRNA from 1 species